rnacentral:rRNA from 1 species
GACGAACGCUGGCGGCGUGCCUAAUACAUGCAAGUAGAACGCUGAAGAGAGGAGCUUGCUCUUCUUGGAUGAGUUGCGAACGGGUGAGUAACGCGUAGGUAACCUGCCUUGUAGCGGGGGAUAACUAUUGGAAACGAUAGCUAAUACCGCAUAACAAUGGAUGACACAUGUCAUCUAUUUGAAAGGGGCAAUUGCUCCACUACAAGAUGGACCUGCGUUGUAUUAGCUAGUAGGUGAGGUAAUGGCUCACCUAGGCGACGAUACAUAGCCGACCUGAGAGGGUGAUCGGCCACACUGGGACUGAGACACGGCCCAGACUCCUACGGGAGGCAGCAGUAGGGAAUCUUCGGCAAUGGGGGCAACCCUGACCGAGCAACGCCGCGUGAGUGAAGAAGGUUUUCGGAUCGUAAAGCUCUGUUGUAAGUCAAGAACGGGUGUGAGAGUGGAAAGUUCACACUGUGACGGUAGCUUACCAGAAAGGGACGGCUAACUACGUG